rnacentral:rRNA from 1 species
CCUACGGGAGGCAGCAGUGGGGAAUUUUGGACAAUGGGCGCAAGCCUGAUCCAGCCAUGCCGCGUGCGGGAAGAAGGCCUUCGGGUUGUAAACCGCUUUUGUCAGGGAAGAAAUCCUUUGAGCUAAUACCUCGGGGGGAUGACGGUACCUGAAGAAUAAGCACCGGCUAACUACGUGCCAGCAGCCGCGGUAAUACGUAGGGUGCGAGCGUUAAUCGGAAUUACUGGGCGUAAAGCGUGCGCAGGCGGUCUUGCAAGACAGGUGUGAAAUCCCCGGGCUUAACCUGGGAACUGCACUUGUGACUGCAAGGCUGGAGUACGGCAGAGGGGGAUGGAAUUCCGCGUGUAGCAGUGAAAUGCGUAGAUAUGCGGAGGAACACCGAUGGCGAAGGCAAUCCCCUGGGCCUGUACUGACGCUCAUGCACGAAAGCGUGGGGAGCAAACAGGAUUAGAUACCCUGGUAGUCCACGCCCUAAACGAUGUCAACUGGUUGUUGGACGGCUUGCUGUUCAGUAACGAAGCUAACGCGUGAAGUUGACCGCCUGGGGAGUACGGCCGCAAGGUUGAAACGUCAAAAGGAAUUGACGG